rnacentral:ncRNA from 2 species
GAAAAUCUACAGGGGUGCUUUGGCAAAAGCUGAGAGAAGUUUGCAAACUUCAACCCUUUGAACCUGAUACGGUUAGUACCGGCGUAGGGAAAGUUUAUGAAACAUCCAU